rnacentral:rRNA from 1 species
CCUACGGGAGGCAGCAGUGAGGAAUAUUGGUCAAUGGGCGAGAGCCUGAACCAGCCAAGUCGCGUGAGGGAGUACUGCCCUAUGGGUUGUAAACCUCUUUUGUCGGGGAGCAAAAGCCGGACGGGUCCGGCUGUGAGAGUACCCGAAGAAAAAGCAUCGGCUAACUCCGUGCCAGCGGCCGCGGUAAGACGGAGGAUGCGAGAGUUAUCCGGAUUUAGUGGGUGUAAAGGGGGCGCAGGCGGGUUUUUAAGUCAGCGGUAAAAACGUGGGGCUCAACCCCAUCCAGCCGUUGAAACUGGGGAUCUAGAGUGUGCGAGAGGUAUGCGGAAUGCGUGGUGUAGCGGUGAAAUGCAUAGAUAUCACGCAGAACCCCGAUUGCGAAGGCAGCAUACCGGUGCACAACUGACGCUCAGGCACGAAAGCGUGGGUAUCGAACAGGAUUAGAUACCCUAGUAGUC